rnacentral:rRNA from 1 species
CCUACGGGCGGCAGCAGUGAGGAAUAUUGGUCAAUGGACGAAAGUCUGAACCAGCCAAGUAGCGUGAAGGAUGACUGCUCUAUGGUUUGUAAACUUCUUUUAUAUGGGAAUAAAAUGUUCCACGUGUGGGAUUUGGUACGUACCAUAACAAUAAGGAAUGGCCCACUGCGUGCCAGCAGCCGCGGUAAUACGGAGGAUCCGAGCGUUAUCCGGAUGGAUUGGGUGUAAAGGGAGAGUAGGUGGAUUGUUAAGUCAGUUGUGAAAGUUUGCGGCGCAACCGAAAGAUUGCAGUAGAAACUGGCCAUCUAGAGUACAGGAGAGGUGGGCGGAAUUCGUGGUGUAGCGGUGAAAUGCUUAGAUAUCAGGAAGAACUCCGAUGGCGAAGGCAGUUCACUGGACUGCAACUGACGCUGAGGCUCGAAAGUGUGGGUAUCAAACAGGAUUAGAUACCCGGGUAGUC